GACGAACGCUGGCGGCGUGCUUAACACAUGCAAGUCGAACGGAAAGGCCCUGCUUUUGCGGGGUGCUCGAGUGGCGAACGGGUGAGUAACACGUGAGUAACCUGCCCUUGACUUUGGGAUAACUUCAGGAAACUGGGGCUAAUACCGGAUAGGAGCUCCUGCUGCAUGGUGGGGGUUGGAAAGUUUCGGCGGUUGGGGAUGGACUCGCGGCUUAUCAGCUUGUUGGUGGGGUAGUGGCUUACCAAGGCUUUGACGGGUAGCCGGCCUGAGAGGGUGACCGGCCACAUUGGGACUGAGAUACGGCCCAGACUCCUACGGGAGGCAGCAGUGGGGAAUAUUGCACAAUGGGCGGAAGCCUGAUGCAGCAACGCCGCGUGCGGGAGGACGGCCUUCGGGUUGUAAACCGCUUUCGCCUGUGACGAAGCGUGAGUGACGGGAAUGGGUAAAGAAGCACCGGCGAACUACGU
rnacentral:rRNA from 1 species